GGGUGCAUAGCUCAGUUGGUAGAGCAGGAGCCUCUUAAGCUCUUGGCCGAGGGUUCGAGUCCCCCUGCACCCACCA
rnacentral:tRNA from 1 species